rnacentral:rRNA from 1 species
UACGAAGGGUGCAAACGUUGCUCGGAAUUAUUGGGCGUAAAGCGCACGUAGGCGGCUUGGCAAGUCGGAUGUGAAAUCCCUCGGCUCAACCAAGGAAGUGCAUCCGAAACUGCUGAGCUUGAGUACUUAAGAGGAUCGCGGAAUUCCCGGUGUAGAGGUGAAAUUCGUAGAUAUCGGGAGGAACACCAGUGGCGAAGGCGGCGAUCUGGGAAGAUACUGACGCUGAGGUGCGGAAAGCGUGGGGAGCAACAGG